rnacentral:lncRNA from 1 species
ACUGGGUCAGAGAUGAAGCCAACAUAGCUCUGUGUCUCACCCAAGGCCUGCUGUAACCACUCCCUGGUACUGCCUGUGUUCACUCAAGGUCCCGGGGCUCUACAAUCAGCAAGACAGCAUUGAAUUCAGAGCCUCACAAUUGCUGUGUUCUACUUCGCCUAGCAACCAGAGAUGAUCCCUGCAACAUGCUGCUGUUGCUGGGAGUGGGAAAGAGGUGGCAUCGGCGGUUCAAGACUGAGUUUUCUAUCUCUUCAGUGCCUCUUUCAACAAUGAAGAUCAAACCAGGUUUUGUGCAAAUAUCUGCUGAGUGAACUACUUAUUUGAAAAUACAUCAUUGGUUAAUAUUCCCUUUUGCUCAUUGAAAUCUCAAAGACUACAGACCCCGCACAAGACAUUCUGACAUUCCCGUCUUUGAAAUGAAUGACAGCAAUGAUAAAUAUGGCUCACCUCCAGAGAUACAGAUCUCACAACUUCAUAUUUUUAAUAUAAAUUAUUAAUCUGAGGUGUGGUGCAAUUCCAUUAGAUGAAAGAGAUCUACACAUUCAGAAGCACAUGAUUCUUCCCCCUUCCAUGAUUCCAGUGGCCAAUAGACAAACUACAAUAAAGCCAUGCCCUGACUGGAUGUGCCUAACAUUUGUCUGGUGCUUAAAGGAGUUGGCUGCAUGCGUGGGAUGGAGAAGGAUUCAACAUUUAAUGGCAGUUAGAAUCAAAUUUUUAACUCAAGAAGGCAGAAGGAAUCCACCUAAAUAAAUGUUGGAAAGUCACCAAAAAUAGUUCUCCAAGUCAGAAGCGGUGCAAAAGCUGCCUCAGCUCUUGGUGGAUUUUCAAUUUCUCCCAGCCAUCUCUGUUUCGCUAAAGGUUUCUGAAGACAGUGGGUAUGUGGCAAACUUCUGCAAUUCUAUAUUAAGAUAAACUGUUAGAUC